rnacentral:tRNA from 1 species
UGGGAGAUCGUCUAAUUGGCAGGACGCCAGACUCUGGAUCUGGUUGUCGGGGUUCGAGUCCCUGUCUCCCAGCCA